rnacentral:rRNA from 2 species
UUGAUCCUGGCUCAGAUUGAACGCUGGCGGCAUGCCUUACACAUGCAAGUCGAACGGCAGCACGGGAGCAAUCCUGGUGGCGAGUGGCGAACGGGUGAGUAAUACAUCGGAACGUGUCCUGUAGUGGGGGAUAGCCCGGCGAAAGCCGGAUUAAUACCGCAUACGCUCUACGGAGGAAAGGGGGGGAUCUUAGGACCUCUCGCUACAGGGGCGGCCGAUGGCAGAUUAGCUAGUUGGUGGGGUAAAGGCCUACCAAGGCGACGAUCUGUAGCUGGUCUGAGAGGACGACCAGCCACACUGGGACUGAGACACGGCCCAGACUCCUACGGGAGGCAGCAGUGGGGAAUUUUGGACAAUGGGCGCAAGCCUGAUCCAGCAAUGCCGCGUGUGUGAAGAAGGCCUUCGGGUUGUAAAGCACUUUUGUCCGGAAAGAAAACCUCUGGGUUAAUACCCCGGGGGGAUGACGGUACCGGAAGAAUAAGCACCGGC